rnacentral:lncRNA from 1 species
UGAAGAAGAAGUACAACAGCACAGCGUCGUUGGUGGAAGGAUGUGAAAUUAAGUUUGAAAAAAAAACUUUCCUUAAAAAGUUCAUUUGAAUUAAGCCGUUCUCAUUGCCGGACGUGGAGGUGUAUUUGGAGGAUCUGAUGUGGAUGAAUGGAGAUGUGAGCGAAGGCCCGUGCUCUCAAAUAAGUUACUGUAAUUCCACGUGGAGGACAGAGGAACUGAAAGUGGUGCCAUCGUGGGGGCCAAAACCAUAGCUCUGAUCACCAUCUAUUUGCCUAUAACCCCAUCUGUGGGGUGGGCCACUAAUGGUCUUAGCCAGAUCCCCACAUCAAGCUCCUGGAAUUUACAAGGAUAUCCAUGUAGCUACAGUUUGGAGGUGAGUGCUUUGAAUAAGUGUGUUGAUGGCAAUCAGCUUCUACUGCUGUGGUGGGACAUGAUGCGAACAAAAGGCCGAAUUGUAGCGCUACUGCAAGGCAGUGUGUUCUCGAUGCAUCACGCAGUGACAAAAACCGACCGAAGCGUUUGUCUGAUCCCACAACAGCUUUUCUUCCUAGGUAAUGUGACAAAGGUCCUCAUCCACUCUGUUGGACCACUUUGGAUAUGAAUGUUUUCUGUUUCUUGAAUAAAUUAAUCGAUUAAAAAAACA